GCGUCGUAACCACUCGGCCACGCAGCCCCGCAGAUCCGGCGAUUGCUGUCCUCACUAUUGAAAGGAAUGUGGCUGGAACCCGCCGUAUAAGAUGCAUGAUAUCGAAAUACUACCACAGAACACCCAUACAAACUACCACAUACUACGCCGUCACGAUACAUGCGGUCACCAAAGGGCCGAAAGUGGGCAAAAGCACGAAAGCAUGGUCGCUUUCGGUGCCCCCAGGAGGCGCUGCCACUGCCCCAGGGGCAUGACCGUGCUGUUGCUGCCUGUUGCUGUGUGUGCGCGCUGCAUUGAGGCAGGUCGAUGUGGAUGUUUAAUCGUGUGUACGCUGUGCCGAGAGAAAAUGUCGUGCCCCUUGUGUGCUUUGAUGAUCACCUAACCCCUGGGACCGCGUAACGUAGCUCGCAGUACCUUUCGCGUGGUUCGCCGAUGUCGAUUAUCGUAGUUAUGGCCCGCUUGCGCUUUCUUUGUUCCCGGCCUCUGAUAAUAUCGCAUCGGAUCACAGUGCACGGAACAAUUUGUUGAGCUAUUACGUGCUGUAGUUCAUCCGCAAUUCAACAGUGUUUACGUCGGAAGGAUGGUCGUGCAGUCGACGCCGCGACCUGACAUGAAGGAGCGUUUGCCGACUACGCCUAGAAAGGGAUGUCAAGAUUUCGUGAACCAGAGGCACCGCAUAGGAACCUAAGACAUUUCUGCAGCCGGAACAGCACGGCAAAGCAUCUGAUCUGCAUGCUGCGACAAGGUAUGGCUGGGCCUGGUGAUGAAGUGUAAGCAGAACAUGCUAUGCUGCGAAUUGGUGCCAAUCUUCACAUCCGAGUUGUUCCCACGACAGUCAAGCACCACUGUGAUUUGCUUCAUUGGCAAGGUAAUAUACUAUGGUGCCCUGCAAGCUCUCACCAAAGCAACACAUUCCACUGGUUUUCUGUCAGAGUACCAUUAUAGAAUUUCGAAUAAACUAUGCUUGUCAGAUGUG